AGGUGAUUAGCACGGUGGUAGUGCGGUAACAUUCACGUUACAGGUCAUGGGUUCGAAUCCCAUAUCACUUC
rnacentral:tRNA from 1 species